rnacentral:rRNA from 1 species
UUGUUCCUACGGGAGGCAGCAGUGAGGAAUAUUGGUCAAUGGGCGCAAGUCUGAACCAGCCAAGUAGCGUGCAGGAUGACGGCCCUCCGGGUUGUAAACUGCUUUUAGUUGGGAAUAAAAGGGGGCUCGUGAGCCCCGUAUUGUAUGUACCAUCAGAAAAAGGACCGGCUAAUUCCGUGCCAGCAGCCGCGGUAAUACGGAAGGUCCGGGCGUUAUCCGGAUUUAUUGGGUUUAAAGGGUGCGUAGGCGGUUUGAUAAGUUAGAGGUGAAAUGUCGGGGCUCAACCCCGAAACUGCCUCUAAUAC